GAUAUCAGAUUAGGUAGUUGGUGGGGUAAAGGCUCACCAAGCCGACGAUCUGUAGCUGGUCUGAGAGGACGACCAGCCACACUGGGACUGAGACACGGCCCAGACUCCUACGGGAGGCAGCAGUGGGGAAUUUUGGACAAUGGGCGCAAGCCUGAUCCACCAUGCCGCGUGCAGGAUGAAGCCUUCGGGUUGUAAACUGCUUUUGUACGGAACGAAAAGUUUGGCCUAAUAAGCUGGACCCAUGACGGUACCGUAAGAAUAAGCACCGGCUAACUACGUGCCAGCACCGCGGUAAUACGUAGGGUGCGAGCGUUAAUCGGAAUUCUGGGGCGUAAAGCGUGCGCAGGCGGUUAUGUAAGACAGAUGUGAAAUCCCCCGGCUCAACCUGGGAACUGCAUUA
rnacentral:rRNA from 2 species